CAGAGAGUUUCCGUCUUCCCUCGUUCCCCAUUUGUGUUAGUUAACACUGAGUCAAAAUUAUUUGAGUAUUGGUCACACACGUACGCACCUCGUGCAUCUUUCUCUGGAGGUAUUUCACUUUGUGCCAAUGAGUGGGGUGAAACCAAGCGUUUUUCAUGGGCGAUAACUGGGGAACUGAUUGAUGUGGUGAUGCCACAGGAAAUAAUGGGGAUAACACUGGAUACCAUCUUGGAAACCGAUUUAGCAAUCAUCGUGUCAAAAUGGCCGUUACAUAUUUUUAGUCAUCCGUUACCCACAACUCAUUAACCUCAAAACUAAGGAAUUUGACGAACCGCAAUUUGAUGGCCUCCAGCAAAUUUCCACCUGCGAAAAACAUAAAGCAAGAUUCAACAAUGGCGUCAACGGACAGGUACUAGGCAAGAGUUGAUAUACCUAUAGGGACAGAAUCGUUUAUCGUGGUCACAGCUGGCAAACUUCCAUAAAGCAUGCAUCGUAAAACCUCCACGAGGCUCUUCACCAUCACAACGUCAGCCCGGCAUUGUCCAGUGACGCCUCUUUCCCGGCUUACAGACGUGCACACCUUUAACAGGAGAGACUUGCGUGUGAUGUCUAGAAAUAUGAGAAAAAUGUGGUUGUGUAGGUGCUUGGGAGAGUGGGAUAAGACAUCGAUGGGAAUGCCGGAAGUUGGCCGCAGGUGCUCUUCACGUUCGCCAUUAUUUUCAUGAUGUUCAACUAUGGUUUUCUUUUAUCUCCAUUUAUCAUCAUCGAACUCCUCAUUUCGAUAUGCAUCAAUCGCCGCAAAUAGGGCAAGAGAAUUUUCCACGCAACGAAUAAUAUCACAAGUUCGCUGCAUGGUUCAUAAAAAUGAUGAAAAAUUGUGGUUAAUCAAUGAAUUGUUUGGAUUAAAAUUUUUCAAUUUGAUUAAUUCCACGGCCAUUCGGUACGAAUGGAUACAACACGGAAAGGGAAAGCCAAUGCGUAAAAUAACCGUUUGAAAGAGUGCGAUAGGAAGACAGAAGGAAUUUCCCACUUGUUUUCGAGGUGACCCCUUGCGGAUGAUUGAUUUUCAUAAUAACCGGGAGGAGCAUGCGGUGAAUGUGACGAGCAUCAUCUAGACGCUUCUCAAAGGGCAGAGUGUCAUGUUCGGCAUUCAUUUUUCCAUCCAUUACUCACAGACGUUUAAUGCUCAUCGCAGCGGGAGGUGGUGUAAAAUGGCGCGUAACGCAGCAUCUAAAAAUAUAAGAGAGGUUAGCUAUCCCAACAGCCUUGUUUUUUCUCCCGGCAUGUGAUGCUCAUUUGCUGGAUGUCGACAGCAGCCGUACGUCUAGGUAUUUCACGGUGUGCGCCACGACGUCGCCAAUGAUGUCGAUAUCCAUGAAGCUGAAUUAGGAAUUGAAAAUUCAUAAUUGAGAAUGGAAUUGUGCCUGAAUCAGUUCCCCUGGUCGAAAUCCUUGGAUCACAAUCAGGCUGGGUUCUGUGAAACCUGAUAAUCUGAUCUGACGAGGUUCAGGGCUGAUCUGAUCAAUCUUGAUGUGGACCUGAUAAAAAUUUCCUCUCGUGUAUUUGCGGAGCGUUGCUGGAGGGACUGGACUCCUGGAGGGAUUCGGUUCAAUGGCCAAUGGAUGAUUGGUUUCACUGAGUGUAAUUUCAAGUCGAGACGGUACCUCUCGAUGGAGAAGUUGCAAUCAGGGCAACGAUGUUGGACAUCUGCCGACCAUCUGCUGGUAAAUGCCGCUCGACCACAUCUCCCUCCACACUCUCGUGUCCAGCUUCCGGCGAGAGGACGGGGGCAAGGUGCUCCUUGUCUCAGACCUCCACCGAAAAUACCAUUUAUACCUUCGGCUGAUUUCUCCUGAGCUCGAUGCACGCACUCUUCUCAUGAUUUAGUGUUCCGUAUCGGAAGGAAGAUUUAUCAUUUCGUGGGAAAGUCAUUCAUAAUUUGGGAUUGACGUCUAAAAUCAUCACGAAUUUCGACUAAUUUAACUGCACGGAGAAAAAAUAUUUAUUGUUUUUCGGAAAAUCUCCAUUAUAAAAUUCCAUUGUAAUAAAAAUUAAUGGCCAUGAAAUCCUAUGAAUCAAUAACUGUUUCAAUUACUCUAAGGAUUGUUUGAGAGUUGAAAAAAGUUGAAAAGUUUCUUAAUUGAGUAACUGUAAUUUGUAAAAUUAUGUUAUAGUAAUCGGAUUGAAUUUUGAAUGUUUAAGUGAUUCGAGAUAAUGUGAGGUUUUAGAAU